GAUUCUAUAGCUCAAUUGGAUAGAGCAACACUCUUCUAAAGUGUAGGUUUUGCGUUCGAAUCGCAAUAGAAUCA
rnacentral:tRNA from 1 species